rnacentral:lncRNA from 1 species
AUUGAGGGACAGGGCAAGGCUCACUCCUUUUGGCAGAGUUUUCCUGGAAAUGAAAGCAGAGAACCUGGAGAGGCGUUCAGGAUAGUAGGCUGGGAAGAAAGUAUCUUAGCCAUCCAUGUUCCACACCCCUAGCCUUUCAUACACUUCCAGCCCUGACUCAGAGGCCUCCCCUUCCACUGUUCCACAUGUCCUCAGCACUUGUCCCUGCUGGAGCUACUUGAAGAGUAUUUACUUGGAGUCUUGGCUAAGGGGGCUGGAGCUGUUGGCUGAAUUUAUACCGAAACCUUGUCAGAGGCGAGGAUAAUGUCUCCCACUGCUCCAGUGUGGUGUGUCCCCCUCCCACACGCCACUGUCGGCCUCAAGUGCCCCAAAGGAACUUGGAGGAGGCAGAAUAAGUGGUUAAAACACCACUAGAGGGGCCAGCCCUGUGGCCGAGUGGUUAAGUUCGUGCGCUCCGCUGCAGGUGGCUCAGUGUUUCGUCGGUUCAAAUCCUGGGCGCAGACAUGGCACCGCUCAUCGAGCCACGCUGAGGCAGCGUCCCACAUGCCACAACUAGAAGGACCCACAACCAAGAAUAUACAACUACGUACUGGGGGGCUUUGGGGAGAAAAAGGAAAAAAAUAAAA